ACAGAGGGACAGAGCCAGUAAAUAUGGACAGAGGGAAAGGCAGAGGGCUGCGUGCAGUAGGGCUGGCAGAUGAUGCCUGCUCCUCCUGAAGGCACAGAACACGCACAGGAGCUCCAUGGUGUUGACUGAAAUCCCUGUCAGCUGCAGUGCUCAACUUCCUCGGGAUAGUGACCUGUGCUAUUCUGACUGUGUCUUCUGUAUCCAUGGAUGAUGAAGAGAGACAGAGCACACGGUGCUCGGAGGAGCUGCAUCCGCAGAGGGGAAGUGAGAAGCCUUUCCCAAGAUGACUCCAGACCUGGAGAAGACAGCGAGUGCUUACCACGGGGGGCUGUACUGGAGAGGAAGACAGCUGCCAGUUCAUUGCCUGUUGGAGCCUCUGGAGGGACUUAGGGAGCAGAGGAAGAUUCCUACUGUGAUUGCCCAUCUCAUGGAUGAUAUUUCUGUGAGUACAGAAUGUUGCAUAGGAUGUCAGAGCUUGACUUUCCCUUGUCUACAAACUGUUUCUCAAACAGAAGCUUUUCCUUUUGCUCAAUUGCACAGACAUUAAUGGCAGUUGUAACAAGUGAUUGCUGGGUGGGACUGAGCAUAGUCCUGUUAUGUCCCUUCAAAGGGUCCUUUCUAGCACAUUAACCUCAUCUUGAGGGCAUUUAUUUUUUUGUCUGCCAAACAACAUUAGCGUUGGCUUCUGAUUUUAAAAUGCUUCAUAAAUCAUCUCCUUUCAGUUGCAUUUCAGAGUCAGUACUAUUUCACUUUUACUGUUUCUUGAAGCUCCCCACAAAGUACAUUAAUUUUUCAUUAAAGGGAAAAAAAAAAAAUCUGUAUUUCUUUCCAGAAUAAAUGAAUUUUGUAACUUCAAAAUAUCUUGUCUAAUGAUCGCCAUCCAGCCAUUUAAAAUAAAGUCUUUGGGGACAGAUGUCUUCAUCACUGAGCAAACUUUAAAUUGAUUUUCCACUUUCAUUGUAAGAUUCAGUUAAAGAGAAGCAAAUACUGUAUUUCAGUACUGAUAUGCUCCCAACAUGUACUGUCAAAGUCUGCUCUUGCCAUUCUUUUGGUGGGAAUAGCUGCUUUAGAAAUGUUUAUAUAUUAUCAAAAUUAGGUUUCAAAAUGAGCUACAGUAUCUAUAUAAACGGGAAUAAUAUUAUUUUAGAGAAACUAAUUGGAAACUUGUUUUUUUGGCUAAAGUAGUUAUUAUUUCCAUUAUGGCAAGCUGGAAGUAGAUGAAAUUCGCCUUUAUCUUUCCUAGCCUGGUGUCUCCAAUAAUUUAUUCAAACUGAAAUUAAAACCUGACACAGUCCCAGUGAGGCAUUUCACACCAGUUAAAGAUUAUUCUUCUGUAAAAGAACUUUUGUUCAAAAAUUUCAUUAUGUUAUUACAAAUGUAUUUAUUAUAGAAGGGUGAUACGUAAAUCAAAAGCUAUCUGUUCGUGUGUGUGUGUAU